AGUGAACGCUGGCGGUAGGCCUAACACAUGCAAGUCGAACGGCAGCACAGUAAGAGCUUGCUCUUACGGGUGGCGAGUGGCGGACGGGUGAGGAAUACAUCGGAAUCUACUUUUUCGUGGGGGAUAACGUAGGGAAACUUACGCUAAUACCGCAUACGACCUACGGGUGAAAGCAGGGGAUCUUCGGACCUUGCGCGAUUGAAUGAGCCGAUGUCGGAUUAGCUAGUUGGCGGGGUAAAGGCCCACCAAGGCGACGAUCCGUAGCUGGUCUGAGAGGAUGAUCAGCCACACUGGAACUGAGACACGGUCCAGACUCCUACGGGAGGCAGCAGUGGGGAAUAUUGGACAAUGGGCGCAAGCCUGAUCCAGCCAUACCGCGUGGGUGAAGAAGGCCUUCGGGUUGUAAAGCCCUUUUGUUGGGAAAGAAAAGCAGCAGGUUAAUACCACGCUGUUCUGACGGUACCCAAAGAAUAAGCACCGGCUAACUUCGU
rnacentral:rRNA from 1 species